UUAUGGAGGCUGUCCUGGAACUAGCUCUGUAGACCAGGCUGGCCUCAAACUCACAGUGAUUCCCCUGCCUUUGCCUCCCGAAUGCUGGGAUGGAUGCAGCUGAAAAGAGACUCUCAGCAUGUGACUAUCUGGAUCAGAGUGUGGACCUUUGAGAUGCCUGUGGGAGAUUGCCUUGAAGGUGUUCAAUAGAAAGACUCAGUCUGAAAGUGGGUGAAGAAGACAUUGAAUAAUAGAGUGGACAUGUACACAAGACUAAAGGGUCCAGAGGUUGGGGACGGCUGUCUGAAGAUUGUGCAAGACAGGAACUCUUAAUGCCUCAAGAUGCUAUGGAGCUGCGGAAGUAAUCCACUCUCAUGAUGCCUGGGUGAAGCAGGGUUCUACUAGCAAUUAUUUUUUAAGUAGAGGUAUCUGCACCAGCAAGAUGCUUAAUGGGUCAAAGGGCUUACCACCUGAUGAUCUGAGUUCCAUCUAAAGGAUUCACAGAGUGGAAGGAGAGAAAUGACUCCCACCAAGUUAACUUCUGACCUCCAUGUGCAGACAUGAUAUGGACAUACCCACAUAUAAUCAACCAAUGAGUGAGUAAUAAAUAAAGGUUGAGGGAAGUUUGACCAUCUGUCCAGACUGGC